rnacentral:rRNA from 1 species
UACGUAGGGGGCUAGCGUUGUUCGGAAUUACUGGGCGUAAAGAGCGUGUAGGCGGCCUUUUAAGUCCUGCGUGAAAUCCUGCGGCUCAACCGCAGACGGUCGUGGGAAACUGGAAGGCUCGAGUGCGGGAGAGGAGAGUGGAAUUCCCGGUGUAGCGGUGAAAUGCGCAGAUAUCGGGAAGAACACCCGUGGCGAAGGCGGCUCUCUGGAACGCAACUGACGCUGAGACGCGAAAGCGUGGGGAGCAAACAGG